UCCGACUUAACGUCGGCAGUCCCUUUAGAGUGCCCAACUAAAUGCUGGCAACUAAAGGCAAGGGUUGCGCUCGUUGCGGGACUUAACCCAACAUCUCACGACACGAGCUGACGACAGCCAUGCAGCACCUGUGUACCGACUCUUGCGAGCGAGGACGUCUCCGCCACUCUUCCAGUACAUGUCAAGCCCAGGUAAGGUUCUUCGCGUUGCAUCGAAUUAAACCACAUACUCCACCGCUUGUGCGGGCCCCCGUCAAUUUCUUUGAGUUUUAAUCUUGCGACCGUACUCCCCAGGCGGGAUACUUACCGCGUUAGCUGCGUCACUGAAGGGGUCAAUACCUCCAACAACAAGUAUCCAUCGUUUACGGCGUGGACUAC
rnacentral:misc_RNA from 1 species